rnacentral:rRNA from 1 species
GAUCAUGGCUCAGGAUGAACGCUAGCUACAGGCUUAACACAUGCAAGUCGAGGGGAAACGACAUCGAAAGCUUGCUUCCGAUGGGCGUCGACCGGCGCACGGGUGAGUAACGCGUAUCCAACCUGCCCACCACUUGGGGAUAACCUUGCGAAAGUAAGACUAAUACCCAAUGACAUCCCACGAAGACAUCUGAAUGGGAUUAAAGAUUUAUCGGUGAUGGAUGGGGAUGCGU